CUAAUUUAUUAUCUAGUUUCCUAACAUUCGUAGAUAUGAAGGCAGGUAUGUCAUACUGUUUUUGAAAAUGGACUUUCUUUAAUACAUUAUGAUUGACAUGUUUAAUAUUUUGAUCUGGCGGGGUUGUUGCAACAGACUGAUCAUAGCAUCGGCUCCUUAUCGUGUUGAUGGACGAAUGUGGGGUUUUGGUGCUAGAGACAUAAGUGGUGGUAUAUGUGGUGAAGGGUACGGGUACGGGAAAGGUUGGAAAAUUGGGUGUUGGAUCGGGGGAAAGUAGUUUGGAUUGAAGGGAAAAGGAAC